UACGUAGGGUGCAAGCGUUGUCCGGAAUUAUUGGGCGUAAAGAGCUCGUAGGCGGUCUGUCGCGUCUGCUGUGAAAACUCGGGGCUUAACCCCGGGCCUGCAGUGGGUACGGGCAGACUAGAGUGCGGUAGGGGAGACUGGAAUUCCUGGUGUAGCGGUGAAAUGCGUAGAGAUCGGGCGGAACACCAGCGGCGAAGGCGGCUCCUGGCCCUUACCUGACGCUGAGGCGCGAGAGCGUGGGGAGCAAACCGG
rnacentral:rRNA from 1 species